AGAGUUUGAUCCUGGCUCAGGACGAACGCUGGCGGCGUGCUUUAUACAUGCAAGUCGAACGAUGAAGUUCCUUCGGGAAUGGAUUAGUGGCGAACGGGUGAGGAACACGUGAGAAACCUGCCUUUCAUUCUGGGAUAACACCGGGAAACCGGUGCUAAUACCGGAUACUCCAUCUUGGCGGCAUCGCCGAGCUGGGAAAAAAUUUUGAUGAAAGAUGGUCUCGCGGCCUAUCAGCUAGUUGGUGAGGUAAAGGCUCACCAAGGCGACGACGGGUAGCCGGCCUGAGAGGGCGACCGGCCACACUGGGACUGAGACACGGCCCAGACUCCUACGGGAGGCAGCAGUAGGGAAUAUUGGGCAAUGGGCGAAAGCCUGACCCAGCGACGCCGCGUGAGGGAUGAAGGUCUUCGGAUUGUAAACCUCUUUCAGUAGGGAAGAAGCGAAAGUGACGGUACCUAAAGAAGAAGCACCGGCUAACUAUGUGCCAGCAGCCGCGGUAAUACAUAGGGUGCAAGCGUUGUCCGGAAUUAUUGGGCGUAAAGAGCUCGUAGGUCGUUUGUCGCGUCGAUUGUGAAAAUCUGAGGCUCAACCUCAGACCUGCAGUCGAUACGGGCAAACUAGAGUGUGGUAGGGGAGACUGGAAUUCCUGGUGUAGCGGUGGAAUGCGCAGAUAUCAGGAGGAACACCAAUGGCGAAGGCAGGUCUCUGGGCCAUAACUGACACUGAGGAGCGAAAGUGCGGGGAGCGAACAGGAUUAGAUACCCUGGUAGUCCGCACCGUAAACGGUGGGC
rnacentral:rRNA from 1 species